rnacentral:rRNA from 1 species
CCUANGGGUGGCAUCAGUCGAGAAUUUUUCUCAAUGGGGGCAACCCUGAAGGAGCGACGCCGCGUGGAGGAUGAAGGCUUUCGGGUUGUAAACUCCUGUCAUUUGAGAACAAGUGUGAGCAAGUAACUACUGCUCACUUGAUAGUAUCAGAAGAGGAAGGGACGGCUAACUCUGUGCCAGCAGCCGCGGUAAUACAGAGGUCCCGAGCGUUGUUCGGAUUCAUUGGGCGUAAAGGGUGCGUAGGUGGCGUGGUAAGUGGGGUGUGAAAUCCCGAGGCUUAACCUCGGGACUGCAUUCCAUACUGCCGUGCUUGAGGACUGGAGAGGAGACUGGAAUUUACGGUGUAGCAGUGAAAUGCGUAGAGAUCGUAAGGAAGACCAGUGGCGAAGGCGGGUCUCUGGACAGUUCCUGACACUGAGGCACGAAGGCCAGGGGAGCAAACGGGAUUAGAUACCCUANUANUC